AAGAUAUAUCGAGCACAACAUUUCGGUGAAACGUCAGUUCUUUGAACACCUCACUGAAGACACAUCAUCUCAACAUACGGAUUACAGAGGUUGGACUCGAUAACGAAAUUGUAGCAAAAAUGGCCAAGAGAGCAAGUCUUGUUGAUGUUUUCAUCAUCAUUAUCAUUGGAGGUAUUAUGGUGGCGCAAGGA